AUCUUCUUGGGUCCGGGAGUCGCUGCCACCUACAGGCCUCAUGUGCAAAGACGCUUGAGCUCUUAGAGGUUCCCUGGGCAGAAAGCUUGCUAAAGACUUUAAUGCCUGCACCAUAAUCCUGCCGGAGGAAACCCAUGAAGCUCCGAAUGUCCCUGUGUUUCAGAACUGUGCCGGACUCUUCUCCGCCAAGUAAUUGUUUCUGUAGGAAUGAUCUGAUCCACAAGUUUGCUCUAUGAUUUGAAAGAAGCAGCUUCCUCCUAGCAGAUUCUGGAUGUGUUGAGAGAAUGAUCCUCCACAGUGCCAUAGGCCAGCAGUUAUAACACUCUACCUUUGGGGACAUACAGGCUUGGCUUUGAAUCAUGACCCUGCCUUUCACUGGCUAUGAGACCUCGGACACGGUGUAAUUACAGCAAACACGCAUUGGCGGCGAGCAGCAAUCAUGAGACAACUGUUGAGGAUUUCAGAUGCGCUUGGCGGUGGCUCCUGGAGCGCAGCGCGAGGAACCGCAGCUCCAGUUGGCCCGUGCUGGCCCGAAAACAAGGGAUUUGCAGAAGUCGGGAGCGGUGUGUUGGCACGGUGUCCACGCCAUGUCGUUCAUCAGCUAUUUCCUUGAUAGCGGGUUGCGUCUUACCACCAAGCCAACCGACUGACUCAUGAGUCAGUGACUUAAAAAAUAAAUAAAUACUUGAGGCCAGCUGUGCCCGCCGAGCAAAACCUGUCAGGCUGCAGACAAAGUGGGCCCCUGCCACUUUCCCGGGUGGUUUCAUUUUUCCUCUUUUUGUCUUCUUGUUUGAAAACUAUGAAAGUGAAACCGCACACCUCCCCCUGAAAGCUGCUGUGUUCCCACGGCUGGAGGAGGUGGGUGGGGGCGAGUCUCCCGCUAGCAUCAGCAUUGCCCUUCCGCAGGCCCCAGGGUCCGGCCACGCGGCUGGAACCCAGGCCCUACUGUGCCUGGCUCUGAGCGAAGGCCUGCACAGGGAAGUGGCCAAAACCCGCUGUUAGGUGGCUACAGUACAUGGCCAAGAACCCACACAGGUGUAGCUAGAUUCGUCCUCCCAACAGGUGAUGAGGAAAAUAGUGAUGUGUGUGGGAAGUGUGUUAGUCACUCAGUCACGUCCGACUCUUUAUGACCCAAUGGACCAUAGCCCUCCAGGCACCUCUUUCCAUGGGGUUUUCCUGGCAAAAGUACUGGAG
ensembl:lncRNA